UCUCCCUCUGUUAUCUUUCCCUCACCUGCAAACCAAGAAAAACAGUAAGGCUCAAGUUCUCUGGUUAUUCUGGGAAAUAUAAAUUCUACAAUGAAUGGGUAAUUCCUUUCUCUUUUUCUCUGUCUCUCCCUUUCUCUUAUUGUUGGUCACGAAAAGAUCAUUAAGCUAUACACAUGCGCUUCCUUUCAUAUCUGGGUGUUGUUGGUUGUAUAGAUCUUCGAAUUUAGGUUUUGGUUUGACUUCUAGAGGAAAUAGCAGUUCAAGAAGCGGCUUAAAUUCAUCGUCGCGAAGCUUUCUUCUACAGAGUACGUCUUUACUCAGUGACCACACCUGUAAUAUUCUUAUUUAGUUUUUGAUUUGGAAAUAUAGAUUUUCUUGUCAUGCUUGGUUUGAAUUCAGUACGCAAAUCCUCUUUGUACAUAAUUGGUGGGUUAGUUUACUAGGGUGAAAUUGUAGGUUAUCAAUUGGUAUGAGGUGAAGCUUGUGUUUAUGGCAAGAUACUUGUAUCAGAAAUAUAUGAGGGAGAAAAUUUUGAGGUACAGAGGAGGCAAAGUCCAUCAUGAUUCAUCUAACAAGUCCCCAAAUUGGCAAAGGGGGAACAGGAGGCUUACUGAAGAAACAGGUGAAAUCUGAAUUAUGUCUUUGUGUGAAAUGGAAGAGACAAACAAGGAGUUCCAUGGGAGAGGCUUAACUUGACUAGAUAUCAACUUGAUUGUUGUCCUGAUAUUUGCCUCUUAGGAAAAAAAAAUGGCUAGUAUUCUCUGUUGGUUUUCUUUCUUUGUUGGCAACUUAACAAAGUUGUAGCUUUCUGAGUUUUCUGUAGAACUGAUUUGUUCUCAUGAUUUACACAGUGUUUAACUUUGAUUAGCUAUAGCAUGAACUGCUUGUCAUUGCUAAAAGUAUCUUUCCUGCAUGCUACUCUUGGAUAGUUGGAACCAUUACUUUUGCGGUAACAUACAAAAAAGCUUUUCUUCAUUAUGCUGUUUUUAUAAUCUUUUGGUAAUUCUUUGUUGCUAAUUUCUAUUAUUUCUUUCAUUUUCCUGUGCAUUUUUGUGCAGUUAGUCCUCAAAGCAUUUGGAUGGAAAUUAUUCUAGUGUUGAUUUAAUUGUUCUAGCUGCUAACUUUGCCGGCUGCAGUACUUUUACUAACAGAGUACUGUGAGAGUGUCUCAAGUGAGACUGAGAAUGUUGGUCUUCCUAUGAUCUUGUUACAUGGCUUUGGAGCCUCAGUUUUCUCUUGGAAUUGGGUUAUGAAGCUGUUCGCUAAGGUCAUUGGUUCCAAAGUUCUGGCAUUUUAUAGAUCGAAGUUUGGGUUGACACUUAUAUUCAAACUCUGUCAGGCAUUUAUCUUCUGGAAAUGGGGAAUCGAAAUCUGUGAAUCCGUACUCCAUGGCAUUUUUAGUGCUUGUUACCUUGUUUUUCAAGGAUUUUCUAGCAGCUAAGAAGGCCAUUAU